rnacentral:rRNA from 1 species
GUAAUGCCGGAUGCUCCAGUUGAUCGCAUGGUGUUCUGGGAAAGCCUUUGCGGCAUGGGAUGGGGUCGCGUCCUAUCAGCUUGAUGGCGGGGUAACGGCCCACCAUGGCUUCGACGGGUAGCCGGCCUGAGAGGGCGACCGGCCACAUUGGGACUGAGAUACGGCCCAGACUCCUACGGGAGGCAGCAGUGGGGAAUAUUGCACAAUGGGCGCAAGCCUGAUGCAGCGACGCCGCGUGAGGGAUGGAGGCCUUCGGGUUGUAAACCUCUUUUGUUAGGGAGCAAGGCAUUUUGUGUUGAGUGUACCUUUCGAAUAAGCACCGGCUAACUACGUGCCAGCAGCCGCGGUAAUACGUAGGGUGCAAGCGUUAUCCGGAAUUAUUGGGCGUAAAGGGCUCGUAGGCGGUUCGUCGCGUCCGGUGUGAAAGUCCAUCGCUUAACGGUGGAUCCGCGCCGGGUACGGGCGGGCUUGAGUGCGGUAGGGGAGACUGGAAUUCCCGGUGUAACGGUGGAAUGUGUAGAUAUCGGGAAAGAA